UCCUCUUGCCAAUGGACAAAGAAACACCGUGUUUGUGGUGGUGUUCUUAUUGUCAGUCAGGGGCAGAGCAGGAGGCAGUACUUUGUUCAUCCUUGCUUGAUGCCAGGCUUGGCGGCCAAAGCUGUUUUAUACCUAGGACUCAUAA